rnacentral:rRNA from 1 species
CGCAUCUGUGCAUGCAGCAUAUCAAUAAGCGGAGGAAAAGAAACUAACAAGGAUUCCCCCUAGUAACGGCGAGUGAAGCGGGAAGAGCUCAAAUUUGAAAUCUUAAAGGGUUUCCCUUUACGAAUUGUAGUUUAAAGAAGUGUUUUCUGUUGAGGUUUUGGUAAAAGUUCUUUGGAAUAGGACAUCAUAGAGGGUGAGAAUCCCGUAUUUGACCUUUACUUUCAACUUUGUGAUACACUUUCAAAGAGUCGGAUUGUUUGGGAAUGCAGUCCAAAAUGGGUGGUAAAUUUCAUCUAAAGCUAAAUAUUGGCGAGAGACCGAUAGCGAACAAGUACCGUGAGGGAAAGAUGAAAAGAACUUUGAAAAGAGAGUUAAACAGUACGCUGAAAUUGUCAAAAGGGAAGCGCUUGACACCAGUGUUGUUUUUCUGAAAAUCAAUUAAAGAACUGUUUAUGCUAAGCUGUUUAGACUUUAUCAGCUAUCUGUUUAGUUUUGAGCUUUUCUUUAAUGCACUUUUCAGUUAACAAGUCAACAUCAAUUUCUUUUGCUGUAAAAAAGCUUGAGGAAGGUGGCUUGAGAUUCGUCUUAAGUGUUUAUAGCCUCUUGCCUAUGCAGUCGGAGAGAUUGAGGUCUGCAGCGUAGAUCCUUCGGGGCUAAAUGCAUUUGUGCUAAGUUAUAGCAUUUUAUAGACAACUUGUUGACUAUGAUUUGUCUUGUAGCUUACUCGCUUAUGUUAUUUUACCUACGCUUAGGAUGUUGAGUCGUAGAGCACGCAG